GACGAACGCUGGCGGCGUGCCUAAUACAUGCAAGUCGAACGCAGUGGGGACGGGUGAGUAACACGUGGGUAACCUCCCAUCAGAGGGGAUAACACUUGGAAACAGGUGCUAAACCGAUCCUGAUGGAUGGACCCGCGGUGCCUUAGCUAGUUGGUGAGGUCACGGGUCACCAAGGCCAAGAUGCAUAGCCGACGUGUGAGGGGUAUCAGCCGCAUGGGGAGUAAGUCACGGCCCAGACUCCUACUGGAGGCAGUAGUAUGGAAUCUUCGGCAGUGGACGAAAGUCGGGCCGAGCAACGCCGCGUGAGUGAAGAAGGUUUUCGGAUCGUAAAACUCUGUUAUGAGAGAAGCGGUAUCUAACCAGAAAGCCACGGCUAACUACGUGCCAGCAGCCGCGGUAAUUC
rnacentral:rRNA from 1 species